rnacentral:tRNA from 1 species
GAAGGUAUAGCUUGGUGGUAGGCUGCGUGCUUAGGACGCAUCAGGUCCUGGGUUCAAUCCCCCGUACCUCCA